GCACAGCCCUUGCAAUCCCUUAAAUUUGUCUUUUUUCAACAGCAAAAUCUGGAUUUUUUUGCUGAGGCAAGUAGAACAUUCUCAACACAAUUCAAUAACAUUCUCAAGUCAAUAACAAGGACUGUUGGAUAGUGCUAAAUGCUAAUAGGAAUACAUAUCCUAUAAGGCUAUAUGCAAAUCUGUGAUACUAAAUUUCAAGGAGGCUAUUUACUACGGGGCUUGGCUUUUGUCCUGAGC